CUUGAUUUCUUGGGGCUGCAUUUGGCUUGCUGGAGAUGGAGGAUGUAAGUUACUUUAAGGAGUUGGUACUUCAGGCCAUUUGGUCACUCGUGAGUCAUUGGAAGUGGGUUCCCUCUAGAAAUGGAUUCUUCAUAAAUAUGGUGAAGUGAUUACGGCUUGAGAGGGCUUGUAUUGGUCAGUUUGAUUUUUUCCCAACCUCUCCACACUUCCCUAAUACCUCCGCCCUCGCGAGUCUCAUCCCUCUUCCCUCGGCUUCUUGACAAGCUCACCCCCAAAAGAAACCUCUCUCCCUUCCCUAAGCCUGUCAUCCUAAUCCUCCAUGCUCGACUAAUGCAUCAAUUCCAGCAUAGCUUGAUCCUUAAGCAUAGUCUUGAGGAUCAAUUGCCGCUCUUGCUUCUUUACCGCUGUUUGGUCCCAAUUGCACCCAAAAGUACAAGAUGCUUUUGACCAGAUUUGCCCCUAAAGUUGCUUCCUUUGUUCUAACUUUUUAUCUCAACAAAAUUGAUUUUAGUGUUUUUGGCAAGAAAUUGCUUCACCUGUUAGUUUUCUUUCUUCUCUUUGAAUUAUAACUCAGGAACUUCUAACUUGCUUGUUUGUGGUCUUAAUUUUUAGCUAGAAAGGGCAGCCCAGUGCAUGAGGCUCCCAACAUUGUAGGUCUAGUGAGGGUCAGAUAUACGCAGCCUUACCCCCACACGUGGAGAGGCUACUUCCAUAUUUCAAACCCGUGACCUCCAGAUCACAAUGAAGCAACCUCAUCGCUGCACCAACGCACACCUUCCCUCAAUUUCUAGCUGGAGUUUUUAUAUUGUGCUAGGUUUCACUCAUAAAAUUUAGUGUUUUUUUUUCUGAUUUUUUCCUCAAAAUGCUUAGAUUUCUAUUCUCAACUGUAACCAGGUACAAGCCUCCUUGCCUCCUUACCCACAAGACCAACUUCUUAGCCACAAGAGGGGAAAAAUAAAUUAAAAGGUGAGUUUUCUAUCACUUCAACUGUUUGACUGUUUCUUUUUCAACUUUUAUUAGCUGUUCUAUUAAGCCAUCUUUUCAAGACACUAGGUUUUCCACCCAUCAUAUUAAAUUCCCCCCACACUAUUCAAUCCUUCAUGUCUAAAUUCCAUGAAAAAGCAAGCUUAAUUCUUUAUUUAAUGUUUUCUUUGCUUAAUCCCGUGAAUAGUAGAUUGUCCUGUGUGGUUAACAUUAUCAUUAUUUUUUUUAUAAUGAGGUGACAGUUGUUUCCGUGUUUUCUUCACAAAUAAUCAGUCUGGACGGGAACUCUGCUUUGUGACAUUAUUUUUUUUGACUGGUUUGGUUAUUUUGCUUUGGUGAUUGGUUGGGAAUCUGGUUUAAGUCUCGAUCAGAUUGGGCUAGUGGAAUUUUUCUCAGAAAUAUAUUUAGAUUUAAGUUUUGCCAUGAUCUGAACCCAUCACCCAGAUCACACCCAUCACUCAAGUCAAUCACAUGACACGGCCCGAGUGAUGGGUUUGGGGCAUGACAAAUUUCACCAUAGUUUUGGUAGGAUGGUCUUUGAUGUCUAAUGUGGAUUGUUUUGAUCUGCAAUGUUCGUGUUUGUCAGAAAUAUUAUUUUGAAAAAAUAGUUGGACUUAGGAUCGUUCAUGGAUUAGAUUUAGCUUUCCAACAUCUUGUUUGGCAUCCUGUCAAAUAGGUAGACGGGCAAUGAUUUUUUGUUAAUCUACUGGAGAUGGUACAUAUAAGAUAGGAGAAUUGCUUAUCUGCUGUAUCGAAACUUUUGGAUUCUACAGAACACUUAUCAUGGGGGUUAGUCUGAAAAAUAAUGAAGUGACAUUUAUGUUCUUCAAUGCUGUUUCUAUAGUCACGUUUCUUUUAUACAUACAUACAUUUCUCUUCUUUGUAUGCAUCUCAGGACAUGUUACAUGGAAAAUUUGAUUGCAAAGGACUUAAAAUUUAGAUCUGAAUCAGGAUUUGUAUUCAAUCCUCCGGUAGGAUUAGGGCUUAACCUUCAUUCAUCAUGGUUUUUUAUAAACUUCGGGGAACUUAUGGGCUGCAUUAGAACCUUAUACAAGAUCAUAUUCUGAUACAAUUCUUUUGAGGAGAGGGAUUCUGAUACAAUUAUGCUAAUAAGACUGCUACUUAUACUACAAGCACUAUAUGGUCCUUGCUAACAAGAGAUUUCAAAUAUAAACUACUAAAUUCAUGGUGCCUUGAAUAAAUUUGAUCAAGUACUCUUCCACAAGUCCACAAACAUUUGACCACAACCAUCACCAACAAGCUUCAUCCAACCAUGUGAAAUUGUGUGAUCAAUUCAUGUUUUCAAUUAAUUCCCGUAUUGUGUUACAUAUUUGUUGUUUCUUCCUUUUUCCUGUAUUUUGCAGGCUUGUGCAUCAUGCUAUCAAUUGG
rnacentral:lncRNA from 1 species